CGGGGCGUGGCUCAGCCUGGUAGAGCGCUCGGUUCGGGACCGAGAGGUCGGUGGUUCGAAUCCACUCGCCCCGA
rnacentral:tRNA from 1 species